UACGUAGGGUCCGAGCGUUGUCCGGAGUUACUGGGCGUAAAGCGCGCGCAGGCGGCGGUGUUGGCCCGGCGUGAAAGCCCCCGGCUCAACCGGGGAGAGUCGUCGGGGACCGCACCGCUUGAGGGCGGUAGGGGCUGGUGGAAUGCCUGGUGUAGUGGUGAAAUGCGCAGAUAUCAGGAAGAACACCCGUGGCUAAGGCGGCUCUCUAGUACGGUGACUGACGCUGAGACGCGAAAGCGUGGGGAGCGAACAGG
rnacentral:rRNA from 1 species